UACGUAGGGGCUAGGCGUUGUCCGGAAUCAUUGGGCGUAAAGAGCUCGUAGGCGGUUUGUCACGUCGGCCGUAGAAAACGUCGGGGCUCCGAACCCCCGAGCCUGCGGUCGAUGACGGGCAGACUAAGAGUGCGUGGUAGGGGAGACUGGAAUUCCUGGUGUAGCGGUGAAAUGCGCAGAUAUCAGGAGGAACACCGGUGGCGAAGGCGGGUCUCUGGGCCGAAAUUGACGCUGAGGAGCGAAAGCGUGGGGAGCAAACAGG
rnacentral:rRNA from 1 species